rnacentral:rRNA from 2 species
GGGUGAGUAACACGUGAGUAACCUGCCCCUGACUCUGGGAUAAGCGUUGGAAACGACGUCUAAUACUGGAUAUGACUACUGGUCGCAUGGCCUGGUGGUGGAAAGAUUUUUUGGUUGGGGAUGGACUCGCGGCCUAUCAGCUUGUUGGUGAGGUAAUGGCUCACCAAGGCGACGACGGGUAGCCGGCCUGAGAGGGUGACCGGCCACACUGGGACUGAGACACGGCCCAGACUCCUACGGGAGGCAGCAGUGGGGAAUAUUGCACAAUGGGCGAAAGCCUGAUGCAGCAACGCCGCGUGAGGGAUGACGGCCUUCGGGUUGUAAACCUCUUUUAGUAGGGAAGAAGCGAAAGUGACGGUACCUGCAGAAAAAGCACCGGCUAACUACGUGCCAGCAGCCGCGGUAAUACGUAGGGUGCAAGCGUUGUCCGGAAUUAUUGGGCGUAAAGAGCUCGUAGGCGGUUUGUCGCGUCUGCUGUGAAAUCCCGAGGCUCAACCUCGGGCUUGCAGUGGGUACGGGCAGACUAGAGUGCGGUAGGGGAGAUUGGAAUUCCUGGUGUAGCGGUGGAAUGCGCAGAUAUCAGGAGGAACACCGAUGGCGAAGGCAGAUCUCUGGGCCGUAACUGACGCUGAAGAGCGAAAGCGUGGGGAGCGAACAGGAUUAGAUACCCUGGUAGUCCACGCCGUAAACAUUGGGCGCU